rnacentral:rRNA from 1 species
GAUGAACGCUGGCGGCGUGCCUAAUACAUGCAAGUCGAGCGAACAGACGAGGAGCUUGCUCCUCUGACGUUAGCGGCGGACGGGUGAGUAACACGUGGAUAACCUACCUAUAAGACUGGGAUAAUUUCGGGAAACCGGAGCUAAUACCGGAUAAUAUAUUGAACCGCAUGGUUCAAUGGUGAAAGACGGUUUUGCUGUCACUUAUAGAUGGAUCCGCGCCGCAUUGGCGAGUUGGUAAGUUAACGGCUUACGAAGGCUACGCUGCUUAGCCGACCUGAGGGGGGGUUGGGGCACACUGGAGCUGAGCCGCGGUCCAGACUCCUACGGGAGGCAGCGGUAGGGAAUCUUCCGCAAUGGGCGAAAGCCUGACGGAGCAACGCCGCGUGAGUGAUGAAGGUCUUCGGAUCGUAAAACUCUGUUAUUGGGGAAGAACAAAUGUGUAAGUAACUAUGCGCGUCUUGACGGUACCGGAUCAGAAAGCCACGCCUAACUACGU